rnacentral:rRNA from 1 species
GACGAACGCUGGCGGCGUGCUUAACACAUGCAAGUCGAGCGAUGAAGUUUUUUCGGAAAUGGAUUAGCGGCGAACGGGUGAGGAACACGUGAAGAAUCUGCCCUCCACUUUGGGAUAACACAGGGAAACCUGUGCUAAUACCGAAUAUUGAAACAUAAGUGGCAUCACUGAGUUUUGAAAGAAUUUCGGUGGAGGAUGACUUCGCGGCCUAUCAGCUAGUCGGUGAGGUAAUGGCUCACCAAGGCAACGACGGGUAGCCGGCCUGAGAGGGCGACCGGCCACACUGGGACUGAGACACGGCCCAGACUCCGACGGGAGGCAGCAGUGGGGAAUAUUGGGCAAUGGAGGAAACUCUGACCCAGCGACGCCGCGUGCGGGAUGAAGGCCUUCGGGUUGUAAACCGCUUUCAGUAGGGACGAAGCGCAAGUGACGGUACCUACAGAAGAAGGACCGGCCAACUACGUGCCAGCCGCCGCAGUAA